GUACCUUGAUCAGGUGCUGGUAAGGCAAUUACUUUAUUAGUCAUCUGGUCCCUGCGAAAAAAAAACACUUAUGUUUUUAAGACACGUGCUUACCAACCAUUUAUCUUUUACUAAGAUAGCAUGUACUAACGCAUUACUGUCGGUUUUUGACAUAGUUACUUGAUAUGAUUCAGAGCCAUGUUUAAGGUACUCGAUCCCACACAAAGCAUUGGUAGAAUCGUACACAAAAGGUUUUCCAUCACAUUGGAAAUUAUUGUCUUUGAAUUUCUCACAGUCAUUCAAAAUGGGUAUUGAAUACGAAUCUGGUAUCCACAGUUGAAAAGCCAAAACAUCUGGGGUUUGGACUUUUACAUGGAUAUUUUCCUUCCAAUUACCGACAUUGUAGAUUGUUUUCAUUUGAAAAAUGGUUUUGGGAGUUACAUAUGGUAUGGCCAAUAAAAAGCAAAUCUCCAUACGUUCCGGAUCAAUUAAGAGAGGUA